rnacentral:tRNA from 1 species
GCUGGGGUGAUGGAAUUGGUAGACAUGCACGCUUGAGGGGCGUGUGGGCAACUUGCCCGUGGGGGUUCAACUCCCCCUCCCAGCACCA